rnacentral:rRNA from 1 species
GAUGAACGCUGGCGGUAUGCCUAACACAUGCAAGUCGAACGGGAACCUUCGGGUUUUAGUGGCGGACGGGUGAGUAACGCGUGAGAAUCUGCCUUCAGGAUGGGGACAACAAUUGGAAACGAUUGCUAAUACCCGAUAUGACGAAAGUUGAAAGAUUUAUCGCCUGGAGAUGAGCUCGCGUCAGAUUAGCUAGAUGGUGUGGUAAAGGCGCACCAUGGCGACGAUCUGUAGCUGGUCUGAGAGGAUGAGCAGCCACACUGGGACUGAGACACGGCCCAGACUCCUACGGGAGGCAGCAGUGGGGAAUUUUCCGCAAUGGGCGCAAGCCUGACGGAGCAAUACCGCGUGAGGGAGGAAGGCUCUUGGGUCGUAAACCUCUUUUCUCAGGGAAGAACAAAAUGACGGUACCUGAGGAAUCAGCAUCGGCUAACUCCGUGCCAGCAGCCGCGGUAAUACGGAGGAUGCAAGCGUUAUCCGGAAUGAUUGGGCGUAAAGCGUCCGUAGGUGGUUAUGUAAGUCUGUGGUUAAAGCGUGGGGCUCAACCCCAUAAGGGCCAUGGAAACUACAAGACUUGAGUGAAGUAGGGGUAGAGGGAAUUCCCAGUGUAGCGGUGAAAUGCGUAGAGAUUGGGAAGAACACCGGUGGCGAAAGCGCUCUACUGGACUUAAACUGACACUGAGGGACGAAAGCUAGGGGAGCGAAAGGGAUUAGAUACCCCUGUAGUCCUAGCCGUAAACGAUGGAUACUAGGUGUUGCCCG